rnacentral:rRNA from 1 species
UACGUAGGUGGCAAGCGUUGUCCGGAUUUACUGGGCGUAAAGAGCGCGCAGGCGGUCGUACAAGUCGCGUGUGAAAGCCCCCGGCUCAACUGGGGAGGGUCACGCGAUACUGUUCGACUCGAAGGCAGGAGAGGGAAGCGGAAUUCCCGGUGUAGUGGUGAAAUGCGUAGAUAUCGGGAGGAACACCAGUGGCGAAGGCGGCUUCCUGGCCUGUUCUUGACGCUGAGGCGCUAAAGCUAGUGUAGCAAACGGG